UGGGACGUUGUGUACAUGACUGAAAGCCA
rnacentral:piRNA from 1 species